rnacentral:rRNA from 1 species
AUUGAACGCUGGCGGCAUGCCUUACACAUGCAAGUCGAACGGCAGCAUGGAGAGCUUGCUCUCUGAUGGCGAGUGGCGAACGGGUGAGUAAUGCAUCGGAACGUACCGUGUAAUGGGGGAUAACGUAGCGAAAGUUACGCUAAUACCGCAUACGACCUGAGGGUUAAAGCAGGGGAUCGCAAGACCUUGCGUCAUACGAGCGGCCGAUGUCAGAUUAGCUAGUUGGUGAGGUAAAGGCUCACCAAGGCGACGAUCUGUAGCGGGUCUGAGAGGAUGCUCCGCCACACGGGGACUGAGAGACGGCCCAGACUCCUACGGGAGGCAGCAGUGGGGAAUUUUGGACAAUGGGGGCAACCCUGAUCCAGCCAUGCCGCGUGAGUGAAGAAGGCCUUCGGGUUGUAAAGCUCUUUCGGCCGGGAAGAAAUCGCACAGGCUAAUACUCUGUGUGGAUGACGGUACCGGCAUAAGAAGCACCGGCUAACUACGUGCCAGCCGCCGCAGUAAGAC